GAAAGUUUCUCUCCAUCAUGUUCUAUGAAAUUGUUCUAGAAAGGAAUGGCAAAACUGUGCAGGGCUUUGCAACAAGAAAAACUCCUCUUCCUGUAAAGGCAAGACCCUGCCAAAAUAAAUAGGGACAUCAGCAAAUUGUACAGAUGAUAGAAUCUCUAUAUAUAUAACAUUGCUGUUAAAGCUUAGCAGAGUCAACAUAUGCCACUACCAAAGGGGAGGAGAGAAAAACAUGGAAGAUAGAAAUACACACUUAAAAUGUUUCUUUCAAAAGAGCAAGCCGUGCCCAGGUACCUGUGUCAGACAUGGUCCCAUUGUAAAGUUUCCUGCGUUAUGAGAAAUUUGACUGACAUCAGAAUCUGGACCUAGCAAUUUUUAGAGAAAGUAUCCCAAGCCCAUGAAUGAAGA